UACGUAGGGGGCAAGCGUUGUCCGGAAUUAUUGGGCGUAAAGAGCGCGUAGGCGGUCCGGUAAGUCGGUUGUGAAAGUCGGGGGCUCAACCCUCGGAUGCCGGUCGAUACUGUCGGGCUAGAGUCCGGAAGAGGCGAGUGGAAUUCCUGGUGUAGCGGUGAAAUGCGCAGAUAUCAGGAGGAACACCAAUGGCGAAGGCAGCUCGCUGGGACGGUACUGACGCUGAGGCGCGAAAGCGUGGGGAGCAAACAGG
rnacentral:rRNA from 1 species